UGCACUUAUGUAUGUUUCUGUUUAACUUGUGGACAAAGACUUAUGGAUAGGUGCAAAAAAUAAAUCCUCUUGGCCAGGCACGGUGGCUCACGCCUGUAAUCCCAGCACAUUGGGAGGCUGAG
rnacentral:snoRNA from 1 species